rnacentral:rRNA from 1 species
AGAGAGAGACAUGCGCGCAUAUCAAUAAGCGGAGGAAAAGAAACUAACAAGGAUUCCCCUAGUAACGGCGAGUGAAGCGGGAAGAGCUCAAAUUUGAAAUCUUAAAGGGUUUCCCUUUACGAAUUGUAGUUUAAAGAAGUGUUUUCUGUUGAGGUUUUGGUAAAAGUUCUUUGGAAUAGGACAUCAUAGAGGGUGAGAAUCCCGUAUUUGACCUUUACUUUCAACUUUGUGAUACACUUUCAAAGAGUCGGAUUGUUUGGGAAUGCAGUCCUAAAUGGGUGGUAAAUUUCAUCUAAAGCUAAAUAUUGGCGAGAGACCGAUAGCGAACAAGUACCGUGAGGGAAAGAUGAAAAGAACUUUGAAAAGAGAGUUAAACAGUACGUGAAAUUGUCAAAAGGGAAGCGUUUGACACCAGUGUUGUUUUUCUGAAAAUCAAUUAAAGAACUGUUUAUGCUAAGCUGUUUAGACUUUAUCAGCUAUCUGUUUAGUUUUGAGCUUUUCUUUAAUGCACUUUUCAGUUAACAAGUCAACAUCAAUUUCUUUUGCUGUAAAAAAGCUUGAGGAAGGUGGCUUGAGAUUCGUCUUAAGUGUUUAUAGCCUCUUGCCUAUGCAGUCGGAGAGAUUGAGGUCUGCAGCGUAGAUCCUUCGGGGCUAAAUGCAUUUGUGCUAAGUUAUAGCAUUUUAUAGACAACUUGUUGACUAUGAUUUGUCUUGUAGCUUACUCGCUUAUGUUAUGUUACCUACGCUUAGGAUGUUGACGCAUGAGAUAUACGC